AGCAUCGUCCUGCAAACCACCCAGGGCGGGAAUCUCUUACGCUGUUGCUUCUUGAAGAAGGCUCAAGGCUCCAGGUGGUGGUCUCCUGCUUUCCAGCCCCUGCUGAGAAAAUCCUCCAAGAAUGGUCGGAGAGCAAAGUCUCAGAAUUCCCUUCACCUGUAGCUGCAGGCCAGCAACGCCUAGGACUCAACUCCUGCGGGCCAUGUCCAGUUGAAGAUAAAUCAUGUCCCUAGGACAAAGUGGUAAAAUCUUCCAAUUUUUUGCCUUUGCUGUCCAGACCUUUAUUUAUCUCAACCUCUCCUUCCAUGGAUGGGUCCAGAAUAUUCAUGGUUCUUUCUCAACCACCAACCAAAGUGGAGAAGGUUGGGGGCAUCUAUGAGAAGUGGGAAGAACUCUGACCAGGAGUCAGAAGACCUGCAAGAGGCACUAAAAGAAUUUUCCAUUGUGGCCCUUGCAUGUCCUUGUCCCCAUCAGCUGUUCUCUACCUCUCUUUCAAGUGACUUUAGCCUCUAACUGCUCCUCCCCACCCUCUUGAUCAAAUCACAGACAUGGGCUCCUCAUCCUUAACAACAAUUCCUCCUAUUUCCAAAAACUAUCUUUGAUGACAGUCAGCCCUCUGUACCUGCAGAUAUGGAGAGCUAAGUGGACUAAGCCAUUUUGUAUAAGAGAUGUGAGCAUCUGCGGGGCGUGGGGAGGGGGUGGGGGUGUUCCCCGAACGACCUCCCUCUGGAUAUCCAGGGGCAACUGUAUUUCCCCAAACUAGGUGAACUUCUGGUGACCCCUCCUCUUAAAUCCUCAUAAAAAAUACUGCCCCACUCAGCCCCCUUCUUCAAGUGAGAGGGCUCUUUUGGAGACUUCUCAUGCCUAGCAUUUUGGAAUAAAGUCUUACGCUAAAGGUGCUCGGUUUGAUAUUCUCAGUGAACGUCUCAAGUCCUACCUUGGAUUCGGUGAACUAAGAUGGUGAAAUGUGCAUUCCAUACUAAUGGUGUCCAGAGAAUUACUGGAGACUCAGCGGGAACACAGUGCGCGGCCUGGUUGUAACGUGUUCUUGGGCUACCUCCAGGGCUGCUGUUGUCCCAGUGUCUCUGGUUGGGGCUCCAAAGAGCUUGGCCUCAGAGCCCUUCAGUUCAGUCCCGGCAGACGCUUCUCUCUGCCCGCCGUUGGUUCAGCCCCCACACCGCUCUCUGCAGUCACCUGCUUCAUGGGGACAAACCCGGCCUCUCCGCUCUAACUGCCCACACCUGGCCUUGGUUGGCGAGCAUUACUCUUGUGAUUCCAGAAGCAGCAAAACCUGCAGCUGGCUCCCCUAACCCGUUAGGAUUGACAAGCCACAGGGCAGAACCAGAGUGGAAACCCUCAUGUUCUUGUGACCAGAAGUUUCAUUAAGGAAAAUUAAACUCCCUUUGGAGAUCAUCACCACUUUGACUAACAUACGGUGGCCAACUGCAGCCAUCUUUAUUCAGAGCAGGUCUUCCUCAGUAAAAGAGAUGGCUUGGUGCCCCUGAGCUUGCUGUUGGGAUAAAAUAAUUUGCUUGGCUCUUUUGACUUCCUUACAUUUAUUUAUUUAUUUAUUUAUUUAUUUAGUUAGUUAGUUAGUUAGUUAGUUAGUUAGUUAGUUUUUUGUAGAGUGGGAAGUAAUUAGGGUUAUUAUCAUUUUUUUAAUGGUAAGCAUGCGCCCUGCCGCUGAGCUAUACCCUCCCCACUGCCUUCCUUACAUUUAACCUCUGGCCUUGACCACUCCUGUAAGCCCAUUAGGGAGGACAGUGAGCAAGCAAGGUGACCCCCGCUUUUCUCCUCUGCGAGGGCUUGAUUCUCCCACUUUUCCUGCUGCGGUAUCCUGAGAGAGGAAACUUAAAUCUUUGGACAGCCACCACUGUGUCCUCAGUGUGGCUGGCUCUAAGUCACUAGUCCUUGCUCUGUUAGCCCAGUCCUGAGUUGAUGUUUGUCCCUAAAUGACCAGUCAAAACUGGACAUACCAGUGCCCAACCUAAUCAGCCCACCGAGGCUGAGCUCAUCCAGCUUUCCAGGUCCUCUUGGAGUGCUCUGCCGUCUUCAUCACUGCUCUGCCUCCAUAUUGACUGACGCCCUGAAUUCUAGAGCCCCGUGUGCUCCCUGCACUCUCCACUUUUCUUAGAGAUGCUGGCCAGCUCUGGGAGAGUCUGAGGAGGAGACUCUGCCUUCCUGAGGAGGCCCAGGCCAACUCAACAGGAUUCCAUCCGGGACACUAGAAUUCAUCCCUGGGAUCUGAACCAAGAUGUCUCCUCUUUUUUUCCCCCUCCUUUCCUCCAGAUUUUUCCCUUUGUGUUAUAUUCACCACACCUGCCCCCAACGCCCGCCCCCAAUAGCUCUUGCCUUAAAGUCAUCCUCCAAUCUUUCAGCCUUUUACAAGUAAUUGCAUUGUUUCCUGCCUGAGUGAUUAAAGCAGGCUCUAAUUCCCUGUGUCUCUCUAGAUAAAACACUGGCGGCUUUUAUGCCAAAAGGAAAGCACUUUAAAAUGUGACCUCAGCCAACCCCUUGUCGAGGAGGAAGAAAUUUUUCUCUACCCUUCUAGAUUCUUCUGGAUAGUCUGAGAAUUAAAUUGACAUGAGACAGAUUAACGGGAGAAAAUCAAAGUUUAAAAGCACAUACAUGUGGAGGGUGGGGAACAGCUCAGUGGCAGAGCGUGUGCUUAGCAUGGAAGAAGUCCUGGGUUCAGGCCCCAGUACAUUCAUUAAAAAAAGAAAAAAAGCAUACAUGAAAGAGACCCAGGAAAACAGAGUAACUCACCAAAGGCUGAAGCCCUCACCUUAAUACCAUCUUCAGCUAAAGACAGAAGAGGAUGUUGGGGAUAGUGGUUUGGGACUUCGAAGGGGAAGAAGGCAAUUUACAUGUAGAUAGAAAAGCAAGUGUCUGGUAAACAAAUGUUUGCUGGGCCUGGCAGAGACACUGCGACCCAGAGAGGAAUUUUAACAGACUGUGCUAGGUUCCUCCCUGUUUACACGCUUAGUUCAUGCUGUAGUUGUCUAUGGCAAUAGCUCCCUUCCUGGAGGAGGUCCCCAUCUACAUUCUUUCAGGCAGUUAGAAGAAGGUCAGAUUUUCUUCCAGAGUCUUUUUGAGUCUUAUAACAAUCAGCCUAAAUUAAUCCUCAUGCCAAAGGGACAGAAUCGGGGGGGGGGGGGUGGGUUCUGCUCCCCUAUACCCUCUUGCUUUAGCUCUUAUCACACCCCCACAUUCAAGCACCACAAGAGCCACAUCAAAUUUUCCCCCACGCUCCCAAUGAAAUUUAAGACUUCAAGUCUUCCUAGCACCUCCUUACCCCUCUCCCAGGCAGAAUAACCCCCUCAUUUAUCUGUUUCCAGGGCAUGUUGAAGUCUCAGUCUUAGAAGUUGGAGGGGACAGCUCAUCUAGAUGUUGGUGCUCCGGUGGAGAAUUAUGGGCAGGGGCAGAGGUGUGGAAGGAAGACGAGAAGAAAUGUAGACCUGCUAUUGAGACAGAAGGGAAGGGGGCAGGACACAGCUGUUAAAGGAAUGACACAGCAGUUAGCACUAAGAGGGUGGAAAAACCAACUCCCAAUAGACCUAGAGACCCAGGAUGGCGGGAGGUCCAACCUCCAGUGGACCUGGAGCUUCAUUGUACACGUUGUAAUGUCCUAGCCUGGUGAAUAACAUACCCACAGGCGCCAUGAUGGUUCUCAAGCUAACCAUGAAAGGUCAAAGAGGGGAUUCCCAGGAAUUGGUGGCCCAGUUCCUGGGAAUUCCUUCCCCUUCCUCAAAGUAGUAGGAAUAAUCCUCUCAUUUGUUAGCACAUAAAAACUAGCAAUACCACGCCUGGCCAGCGCACCCUUUCUCUCUUGCCUUCUGAGGUGGCCCACACUCUGUCUAUGGAGUGUGUUUCUACCUUUAAUAACCCCCCGCCCCUCACAGCCAUACAUCUCUCUAAAUAAAUCUACUUUUACUCAACUAUGACUUGCUCUUGAAUUCUUCCCUGUGGUCAGCCAAAGACCCUCAUUUGGUGGUGUGUCCCCCAGGGAUUUGCCUGAGUCCUGGGACGUGACCAUCCUCUCAUGCCCCAUUUUUCCUGUACAGGAGGCAAGGGGACAAUGCCUUGGCACUCCUGCAUUGAGCACUCAUUGGUGGGAGCUGUUUCUAGGGAAGGAGUGUAUAUAACCUUGAGUGGGCAGCUUCCUUUGGCUGAGAACAAUGCCUAGAGAGGGACUCAUCUGUGAGCUGUUCGUGGCAACACUUGCACAACUAGGGGAAUGAGUGUCCUGAUCCUAAAGGGUAGAUCUGGGCAACCCUCUGCAGCAUCCUUUUCAGUAGGAUAAACACAGGUCAGACCUUCCCAAGUUUGUAGAACAUGCCAAACACUUCGGGUGUUAUAGUAAGAAGAGUGAGAGGACAAUUAAGAUUUCAAGGAAGGGAGUUACGUAAGUAGAUUUGUGUUUCAGAGACCUCUCUGGAAGCCAGGUGAAGGAUGGGCUGAAGGGCAACAAGACUGAAUUCAAGGUGGGAGAUUAGGCGGCUGUUACGGUGAUCUGUGGGGGAGAUCAUAAAGGCCAGAACUGACAUGGUGUCAGUGGAGAGAGAGAUAAAUGGAUGUUGUGAUAUUGUGAUUUACAAGAAAUAGAUAUUUGGUUUUCAACUGCUGUUUCUAGCCCAGAGCUCCUAAAACCCUUGAAGUUUUCUUUGAUGAGAGCCAUAAAAUUGUCUUUUGUUAUGUUAAUAAGAUGGCUUUCAGAAAGCACCUAAGGAUGGAGUCUGUUUGCCUUUGGAGCCAACUCUGUGAUGAUAGGGUUGAAACUUUUCUUUCCACCAGGUGACUUUGGGGGAGGAAAGAGGGGCUGGAGGUUGUGUUUAAUCACCAACAGCCAAUGAUGUAAUCAAUCGUGCCUCUGUAAUGAAGCCUCCAGAAAAACCCCAAAGGAGAGAAUUCAGAGGUUCCGGCUGGGUGAACACAUGGAGAUUCAGGAGAGGGUGCACUCCGAGAGCCUGGAAGCCCCAUGCCCUUUCCCCACACCUUGCCCUAUGCAUCUUUUCCAUCUGACUGCUCCUGAGUUAUAGCCUUUUAUAAUACACCAGUACUCUAGUAAGUAAAAUGUUUCUCUGAGUGCUGUGAGCUGCUCCAGCAAAUUAAUCAAACUCAAGGUGGGGGGUGGGGAACUGUGGAACCUCUGAUUUAUAGCCAGAUGGUCAGAAGCACAGUUGACAACCUAGACUUGUGAUUAGUGUCUGAAGUGCAGGGCAGUCUUGUGGGACUGAGCCCUUACCCUGCGGAAUCUGACCAUCUCCAGGUAGACAGUGUCAGAAUUGAGUGAAAUUGUAGGAUACCCGGCUGGUAUCAGAGAAUUGGUGGUGUGUGUGGGAGGGUGAAAUACAUACAUUGUAAUUGAUGAUCAGGACUGCAGAUGUCUUUGAGAAAUAUUUAGAAUGCAGAAUUGACAACUUGGUUACUGACUACGUAAGGGGUAGAGAGAGGAAGGAGUCAAGGUUGAUGGGGGAUUCUGCACUGUUGAUGACAGUCUCUGUUCUGACCCCUGCUAGUCUAUCAUCCAGACUGCAUGCAGCCAGGGUGAUGCAGCCAGUUAGCAAGCCUCAUUAUGUAAUUCUCGUGUUUUGGAGCCUUGACUGCCUGCCGAUUCCUCCCCAAUAAAUUCCUCAGGCUCAGGGAAGGCUUUGCAAGUGAGUUACAUCUAAGUGAAGAUCUACAGCAGGAGUAACAGGUAGACCAGGAGUAAGGAUUGAGGAGGUACCUUCCUGAUGGAAAAGUAUCAUGGACAGGCCACCUCUCAGAAUUGCACAUGACUCUUGGGGACCCAGUUUCUGCUACUCCACUUAUCUUUGGUAUUUGUCACCCACUCGGCUCUUAGAGCCUUGUUUAGACAUACGCCCUUGCCUAGACUAACUCCUGAUAGAAAAGCACCUUUCCUCUUAUCAUAUCUGCCUCCAGAAGUGGUCCCCUGUCUAAAUCCUGCUCACUUCCACCUUACUUCCAGGACAGACCACCUGACGGCCUCUCUGAAAGACACUUAGAAAUUCACGAGGAUGAUGUCCAGAUCUCAGCUCCAUUAUGGAAGCCCACUUAAUGAGGUUUUUUAGCAUUGACCUCAAAUCUUACAUUAUUUUGAAGGGUUCAGUGCCUUCCAUCCUUUAGAAAGCUAGGCAGAUGUGAGAUAAUUUCACUGUGGUUCAACAUAACCCACACACCUAUGAAGACCAAGUUCUCAGACACGUCAGUUUUCCAAGCCAUGUAGUGCUGAGGGCAUGACCCCCUCAUUUCUCUAUCCUUGCUGAGCAAUGAGACACAUUCUUUAUAAAUCAAUUUUCAGAAAGCAUAGAUUUUUCUUUUCCCUUGGAAAAUGUCAACACAGUUUUUAACCUUACAUAGUUUCAUGGAAAUCUUCCCAACUAGCUUUCAAAUCUACUUAUUCUUUAAAAGCCAUUUAUUUUCUUAAUGACAUCAGAUGACAUUAGGAAGAUGCACUAUUGCAUUGCAUACAGGGAUCUCUCAGAGAUUAUUAAGGUAUGUUGAAGGGUUUGCCUUGGUACUUACUGGGUAAGGACAACGAGGAAUUUUUAGUUCCUGAAUCUACUUUUUAUAUUUUCUCUCUUUCCUUUCCCCUCUCAGUCUCCCUCAAUCUUUUUUUUAAAAAUGGGUUCAUUCUCACACUGGUCCUCUUAAAGCAUGUGAAAUAGUUGGGAUUAUUUAAACUCAGGCUCCAGAAAUCAUUUGAGGUUGCCUCCUAAUCGUACUGCUCAUCAGCACUGUGUCUCCCCGUCUCCGGGGAUAGUAACCUGUUUUGGUUCUGCCCUGUAGUAGCAUCUAGAGCUGGACUGGGGCUCAUUAUUCUCAUCUCAGCCUUCAGAACCCUUGCAGACCUUGGCCACUGAAACUAUCCUCCAUGCUCAUGGGCCUCAGCAGUGGGUAAAAGGCACCCUACUCCAGUGACCCCAAUAGAGGGCUCCUUUGGGACCUGCUUAGUCAGGCUAAUCUUGGAAAUUUCACUCUGUUCUGUCCAUCUCUGAGUGCUGCCCAAUAUCACCUGCACCCCCACCAGUCUCUGCCACAAAGUUGCCCCGAGGACACUGCCAGUUUUGACAGGUAGAGAAGGUCAAGAAGGACUUUUCCAGGUCUGAUGCUUAUCUUGUUUCCUCUUCAGCUGUAAAGAAUUCCCUGAAUAGUGAGCAUAAGAUCCCAGAGGCUCUUCCACAUUGCAAGGAGGAAACCAUCUUCUUUUCCACCUCUGCUCCACUCCAGAGAGACAGCAAAGAUAAAUCUGAACCCUCCAGCCUCCAUGGUGGCUGUCCAAGGAGGACGUUGCCAAGAUGGGUCAAACCUUGACAUUUCCAACCAUGUGGGGUUGGGGAGGGCACUGAAUGAAGAAAGAGGGGCCUGAAAUACCAAAUUCACUGUUAAAAAAAUUCAGGGUUAGUACCUAGUACAUAGAAAGACCAGAGCUAGAAUCCUUAGGAGACUGGCUUUAGUGGGGAAAAAAAAACCGUUUAUAAUAAAUAUGACAAGUGAUGGCUACGUAUCUUUUUAAUUGUUUUGUUUUUGUUUUGGUGGGGGGAGGUAACUAAGUUUAUUUCUUAACUUAUUUUUUUUUAAAUGGAGGUACUGGGGAUUGAACCUAGGACCUCACGCAUGCUAAGCAAGUGCUCUACCACUGAGCUCUACCCUCCCCGGUCACACAUC